GAGGAGCGUGUAGAAGGUCCAGUUGUAAGCGAAGUGGGCCACCACGAUGGCCAGAAGUGGCCCAGACGUCAACAUGGCUCGCCAGGGGAUGUCUGCAUGUGAGUUGGACAGCUGGAAGGAAGCAAAAUGGAGUCAUUCUAAAUUUUAAACAGCAGAAAGACAAGUUUUACAAGAACCCAAGUCUCCUCCUGGCCUUUGCUUUACAAGCAAACGUCAUAAAGCCUCAGUCGAGCUUUUCUAUUUCUACGCGGCAUCACCUCGUUCUUCAGCGAGCUGACGAUGUAGAGUCUUUCUCGCUCCGAGAUCCACCGGAGAUGCUGACAAGACGGCUCCUCUCCAGGGGCGGCGCCCACACGGCCCACAUGCUGUACAUGGCAGG